UUAAGCCAUGCGAGUCGAACGAAUUUAGAUUCUUGGCGUACGGCUCAGUAACACGUGGAUAACCUACCCUUAGGACCGGGAUAACCCUGGGAAACUGGGGCUAAUACUGGAUAGAUAAUUUUUCCUGGAAUGGUUUUUUGUUUAAAUGUUUUUUCGCCUAAGGAUGGGUCUGCGGCCGAUUAGGUAGUUGGUUAGGUAAUGGCUUACCAAGCCGUUGAUCGGUACGGGUUGUGAGAGCAAGAGCCCGGAGAUGGAACCUGAGACAAGGUUCCAGGCCCUACGGGGUGCAGCAGGCGCGAAACCUCCGCAAUGUGAGAAAUCGCGACGGGGGGAUCCCAAGUGCCAUUCUUAACGGGAUGGCUUUUCAUUAGUGUAAAGAGCUUUUGGAAUAAGGGCUGGGCAAGACCGGUGCCAGCCGCCGCGGUAACACCGGCAGCUCUAGUGGUAGCAGUUUUUAUUGGGCCUAAAGCGUCCGUAGCCGGUUUAAUAAGUCUCUGGUGAAAUCCUGUAGCUUAACUGUGGGAAUUGCUGGAGAUACUAUUAGACUUGAGACCGGGAGAGGUUAGAGGUACUCCCAGGGUAGAGGUGAAAUUCUGUAAUCCUGGGAGGACCGCCUGUUGCGAAGGCGUCUAACUGGAACGGUUCUGACGGUGAGGGACGAAAGUUAGGGGCGCGAACCGGAUUAGAUACCCGGGUAGUCCUAACUGUAAACGAUGCGGACUUGGUGUUGGGGUGGCUUUGAGCUGCUCCAGUGCCGAAGGGAAGCUGUUAAGUCCGCCGCCUGGGAAGUACGGUCGCAAGACUGAAACUUAAAGGAAUUGGCGGGGGAGCACCACAACGCGUGGAGCCUGCGGUUUAAUUGGAUUCAACGCCGGACAUCUCACCAGAGGCGACAGCUGUAUGAUAGCCAGGUUGAUGACUUUGCUUGACUAGCUGAGAGGAGGUGCAUGGCC
rnacentral:rRNA from 1 species